rnacentral:rRNA from 1 species
UUGGGAAUCUUGCACAAUGGGGGCAACCCUGAUGCAGCGACGCCGCGUGGAGGAUGACGGGUCUAGGCCUGUAAACUCCUUUUCCCCGGAAAGACUUAGGACGGUACCGGGGGAAUAAGCACCGGCUAACUACGUGCCAGCAGCCGCGGUAAGACGUAGGGUGCAAGCGUUGUCCGGAUUUACUGGGCGUAAAGAGCGCGUAGGCGGCUCGUUAAGUGUGAAGUGAAAUCCCUGGGCUCAACUCAGGAACUGCUUUACAUACUGGCGAGCUUGAGGGAUGCAGAGGUUUGUGGAAUUCCUGGUGUAACGGUGAAAUGUGUUGAUAUCAGGAGGAACACCCAUGGCGAAGGCAGCAAACUGGGCAUUUCCUGACGCUGAGGCGCGAAAGCGUGGGUAGCAAACAGGAUUAGAUACCCCCGUAGUCC